rnacentral:rRNA from 1 species
CUGGUUGAUCCUGCCGGCGGCCACCGCUAUUGGAAUUCGAUUAAGACAUGCGAGUCGAGAGUCGUAAGGACUCGGCGAACCGCUCAGUAACACGCGGAUAACAUGCCCUUGGGUGGAGGAUAAGCUCGGGAAACUGAGGAUAAUACUCCAUAGAUCUACUAUGCUGGAAUGCUUGUAGGUCCAAAACUCCGGUGCCCAAGGAUUGGUCUGCGGCGUAUCAGGUAGUAGUGGGUGUAACGGACCCACUAGCCAAUGACGCGUAAGGGCCUUGAAAGRGGGAGCCCUGAGAUGGACUCUGAGACAUGAGUCCAGGCCCUACGGGGCGCAGCAGUCGCGAAAACUUCACAAUGGGGGAAACCCCGAUGAGGGAAUUCCAAGUGUUAGCACAUUGUGUUAACUGUUCCCCUGUCUAAAAAACAGGARAAGUAAGGGCCGGGUAAGACGGGUGCCAGCCGCCGCGGUAAUACCCGCGGCCCGAGUGGUGGUCGAUAUUAUUGAGCCWAAAACGUUCGUAGCCGGUCUUGUAAAUCCUUGGGUAAAUCGGCCAGCUUAACUGUCCGAAGUCCGGGGAGACUGCAAGACUUGGGAUCGGGAGAGGUCAGAGGUACUUCUGGGGUAGGGGUAAAAUCCUGUAAUCCUAGAAGGACCACCGGUGGCGAAGGCGUCUGACUAGAACGAAUUCGACGGUGAGGAACGAAGCCCUGGGGCGCAAACGGGAUUAGAUACCCCGGUAGUCCAGGGUGUAAACGCUGCGGGCUUGGUGUUGGGGGUCCUUAGUGGGCGCCCAGUGCCGGAGAGAAGUUGUUAAGCCUGCUGCUUGGGGAGUAUGUCCGCAAGGAUGAAACUUAAAGGAAUUGGCGGGGGAGCACCGCAACGGGAGGAGCGUGCGGUUCAAUUGGAUUCAACGCCGGG